GGAGGGGUAAGUUAAGCUUGAUAAACUGUAUGACUCAUGUUCAUAAAAUAUGCCUUCGUUCCCUCCU
rnacentral:tRNA from 1 species